rnacentral:rRNA from 1 species
UACGUAGGGCGCAAGCGUUAUCCGGAAUUAUUGGGCGUAAAGAGCUCGUAGGCGGUUUGUCGCGUCUGCCGUGAAAGUCCGGGGCUCAACUCCGGAUCUGCGGUGGGUACGGGCAGACUAGAGUGAUGUAGGGGAGACUGGAAUUCCUGGUGUAGCGGUGAAAUGCGCAGAUAUCAGGAGGAACACCGAUGGCGAAGGCGGUUCUCUGGGCAUGUCCUGACGCUGAGGAGCGAAAGUGUGGGGAGCGAACAGG